CUGGUUGAUCCUGCCAGUAGUCAUAUGCUUGUCUCAAAGAUUAAGCCAUGCAUGUCUAAGUAUAAGCGACUAUACUGUGAAACUGCGAAUGGCUCAUUAAAUCAGUUAUGGUUUAUUUGAUGGUACCUACUACUUGGAUAACCGUAGUAAUUCCAGAGCUAAUACAUGCAGGAAGACCCGACUCACGAAGGGUUGUAUUUAUUAGAUAAGAAACCUUCCCCUUUGGGUUGCGUGCCGAGUCACAAUAACUGCUCGAAUCGCAUGGCUUCACGCCGGCGAUGGUUCAUUCAAAUUUCUGCCCUAUCAGCUUUCGAUGGUAGGAUCGAGGCCUACCAUGGCGUUUACGGGUAACGGAGAAUUAGGGUUCGAUUCCGGAGAGGGAGCCUGAGAGAUGGCUACCACAUCCAAGGAAGGCAGCAGGCGCGUAAAUUGCCCGAAUCCUGACACAGGGAGGUAGUGACAAGAAAUAACAAUACAGGGCUACAUCUAGUCUUGUAAUUGGAAUGAGUACAAUUUACAUCUCUUCACGAGGAUCAAUUGGAGGGCAAGUCUGGUGCCAGCAGCCGCGGUAAUUCCAGCUCCAAUAGCGUAUAUUAAAGUUGUUGCAGUUAGAACGCUCGUAGUCGGAUUUCGGGGCGGGGCGACCGGUCUGCCGAUGGGUACGCACUGGUCGACGCGUCCUUCCUUCCGGAGACCGUUUCUGUUCUUAACUGAAUGGGAGCGGGAGACGGAUCGUUUACUUUGAAAAAAUCAGAGUGUUUCAAGCAGGCAGCUCGCUCUUGCAUGGAUUAGCGUGGGAUAAUGAAAUAGGACUUUGGUGCUAUUUGUGUUGGUUUCGAACACCGAAGUAAUGAUUAAUAGGGACAGUCAGGGGCACUCGUAUUCCGCCGAGAGAGGUGAAAUUCUCAGACCAGCGGAAGACGAACCACUGCGAAAGCAUUUGCCAGGGAUGUUUUCACUGAUCAAGAACGAAAGUUAGGGGAUCGAAGAGGAUCAGAUACCCUCGUAGUCUUAACCAUAAACCAUGCCGACUAGGGAUUGGGGGAUGUUCACAAUUGACUCCCUCAGCACCUUACGGGAAACUAAAGUCUUUGGGUUCCGGGGGGAGUAUGGUCGCAAGGCUGAAACUUAAAGGAAUUGACGGAAGGGCACCACCAGGUGUGGAGCCUGCGGCUUAAUUUGACUCAACACGGGGAAACUUACCAGGUCCAGACAUUGUGAGGAUUGACAGAUUGAGAGCUCUUUCUUGAUUCGAUGGGUGGUGGUGCAUGGCCGUUCUUAGUUGGUGGAGUGAUUUGUCUGGUUAAUUCCGUUACGAACGAGACCUUAGCCUGCUAAUAGUGACGCGAACACUCGUUGGCGUCCGCUUCUAGAGGGACAACACGUCUUCACGUGUGGAGUUUGAGGCAUAACAGGUCUGUGAUG
rnacentral:rRNA from 1 species